ensembl:misc_RNA Metazoa_SRP Metazoan signal recognition particle RNA
GCCGGGCGUGGUGGCGGGCGCCUGUAAUCCCAGCUACUCGGAGGCUGAGGCGGGAGAAUGGCGUGAACCCGGGAGGUGGAGCUUGCAGUGAGCCGAGAUCCGGCCACUGCACUCCAGCCUGGGCAACACAGCGAGACUCCGUCUCAA